AGGCUUUGUACUAAAAAAACAAACAGCUCUCAAAACACAUCUACCGUACUAAGCGCGAAUGUGUACGCGCGCGCGCGGUUAAUGCUGCUUCCUUCCUCUCUUUCUGUCCCUUUCUUUCUCCGUAUCUCUCUCACUAUUUCUCUCACAUACACACAAACUCAUUUUAAUGUGUUUAUCUAAUGUUAGCCGUUCAUUUCAAAACCCUACCUCUGAACCAUUAUUUCCUAUUGUAAAGAGUGAUGGGGGAGAAGAUAUUUUGUGUGGGAGGACAGCAGGCUUUUCUGUGAAAUCCUCUUUUAAAAGAGAUGAGAAAGAAAAGAGAGAGCGCUUUAGUUUCGCUGGACAGAGAGACGGUCAAGCUGAGGGAGGGAGGAUGUUUGGCCUUUCACCAGGACCUGGCUGGCAGUGACGACUGACCCCAGGCCCAGAGUGAUGCAUCCUGCAAUUUGGACACUCCAAUAGGUUAUGUGACGUGUGAAUUUCUCUCAGCUCCAUCACUCACAUAAAUCCUGUCCAGUAGGCCAUAUGACCCACCAGGAUCUUACCAUGGAAAAGCCUUUUUCAAAUCAGCAGAUGACUAAGAUAUUAGCCCUUAAAAACAAUAAUAUGUAUGUGUAUGUGUUACAUUGAAGCACAAAUAUAGCAACAAAAUCUCCCAAUUUUACCAAUUUGACUUCAGGUUCUGCCGUUUAUCCACGUUUAUCCAAACGUCAAAUUUCGAAGUGUUUUUAAGUUACGGUUUGGGAUAGGGUUAAAACAUUAAAGAGCCUGGCUCUGCCACGGCAUAUAGUCAUGGCUAUAUUAACAACAUUACUUCUGUCAUAAACAUUAAAAUGAUCCAAACCACAAGCUAGAACGAGCGCAUUUUCAUUUCACUGGUAGAAUUGAGAAGUUUCGACUUCCUGUGUAUUAGGCUGCUCAUAGUGAACCACAGGGUCCGGCAUUCAUAGCGAAUGCAGAUACCACCGUGCUAGCUAGAUGAGGCGUGCCCACAACUUGGAUGCUGGCGACCAGCACUCAGUAAUCUCAGAACUUCUCUAGACACUAUUUAUUUUAUUUUUUUAAACAUUUGUUUUCACUAACGUUUGUCAUCAUGUCCCAGUGGUGUUCAGUGUCUGGCUGUGUUGAUUACGAACAAGCGUGAAAAUGAGUUAUCUUUCACCGUUCUACCUACUAAUGGCUUGCGGCUAUUAAGAAUUAUGCUUACAGUGACCAAGUAUUAUCAGAGGGAUUUUCAGGCUGAGUUGAUGGGGAAUCUAUUUCAACGACAGAUGAGAAGUGAUGCAAUACCAUUGUUUUUUUUCCCUUCACAUCAAAAUGAAAUAUUCUCUAUUAGACAGAACAUAACAUUAGCUACCUUAGCUGGACUAGGUAAAUUAGCCUGCUAGCUAAUGUUACAGUCCUGUAUAGAACUGUAAAUGCCAUCAGCUAAAUCAUAUAGCUAACCAGCUAUAUUUUGGAUACACACUGUCAAUCACUUUUGACCUAUGCCAUGGUAGUCACUGCUAGACUGGUACCUUCAGCAGCUAAGCUAAUGUUAGCAAAUAAGAGUAGCUCAAUCAGAGCCAUCUAUUCCACCCUUGUCUGGAAAACACUCCGUUACUAAAAAUAUAAUUGUCGAUAUAGCGUACUCUGUGUGUUGGUAGCAAUGAUGAGUGUAUAUAUAAAUCUAUGUUUGGUUAGUUGGUUCUCAGCUGGCUAGCAAUCUUGCUGCCAAUUUAGUGACGCUAGCUAACAGCAAGCUGACAAUAUUGAAAUGACCAUGUUAGGUGUACAAAGCUAGCCAGUCUAAUAGAGAUCAAUACAAUUAGUGGGGUUGUUAAAUAGUGUGUUGUGUGUUUUGUAGGUGGUACAGAAUCUGAUUCCACUGGCAUGUGCUUCCAAACCUUAGCUCUGCACAAGGUGAAGGUAAGUUGGCAAAAAUAUGUACAAGAUGAUGGCUAAGAUAGCUGAAUUUACAGUAAGCAUGGCAUAAACAUGAACUGGGUAGGGUUUGUGUUUAAGGGCCACAAGAGUACCUUCCGGACCAUGUAAUCAGUUUAAUGUACCCCUUUUCUCUUGGUAAAACUCAGGUGAUCUGGAGACCUUCCACAGUGCCCUGCUGAAAAAUACCCCAUAACGGUGGGGUCUUUGUUCGAAACAUCGUCAUCUAUUUGUUCGAAACAUCGUCAUCUCCUGGCAGCAUUUACCCUCCAGCUUCACAAGCUUGAAAACCACAUUCAGAAAAACUUUAACAGAAUUCAUUUUUUCCCCUAUUUUUUUUUCGUUUUGGAGUCAGAGUUUCAGUAUAGUUUGUUUUUCAAAACAAGUGUGUUAAUUAUUUUAUUUCAGUUUUCAAAAUAGUUUUUUCAUGAUUUGUUUUCUUUUUAGUUUCAAUUUCGGUUUACUAAUAACCUUGACAUACAUAUUACCCUAACCAUAAAUGGACCUCUUCAAUUUGGUGCCAAAAUAAAAACACUAUUACGUUAUCUCCUUCUUAUGUCCAGAGGGCUUGUGAAACUUAGAGACUACUGAAUCCCACCUUUCUUCCUCUGGCUAGUGUAGUUUUAGGCUACCCUUGAAAAAGCAACUGAUUGUGUCUCCCUUCCCUUUCUCUCAUACCCCAUUUGUCAGUUGGGCAAUUUCUGUGCCUCAGUCAAGCAGCAGGGGACGUAUGGAUAGAAGCGAUGGAACCUUGGGUGUCAAACCCUGUUUACAACAGGGCUUGCUGUGUUUAGUCUCUUCAUUCCAGAAUGCCUUCCAUCAUUCUUUGGAAUUUACUGUACUUUUUCAAAGUUGUUAAAGUAUAUUUUAUGCUGCCAUUUGCAAUACUAUGUAAAAGUUCUGAGUGAGUCCCUAAUAUAUUCAGUCAUUGGUAAGCCUGCAAUCCGGUUUCUCUUUAUUUGCUUGAAAUUGAUAGUGAUGUUAUUGCCGCUACACAUACCUAGACAUAAUGUACUGAUCUUCAACAUCUCAUAUUAUUUCUGCUUCUUAUCUUGUGACAUGUUAUUAAAAAAUGGCUCAUGAUUGUUUAACCUCAAGACCUUUCCUAACACAUCAUAAUGCUUAUCCUCCAAAAGCCUUAUGGUAGAUUUUUCAGUUAUAUACUGACGUGAUAUCCAAAGAUACUGUUUAUAUAUAUUAUUGACCUGACAAUGGCUAGUGGGUGGGUUGUAAAUUGUAAAUGCAAAUUACUCUUAUGGAAUUUAUUUCCGUUGCUUGUGGAGUGCUUGAACCAAGAUCAAAUGUUGAGAAGACAAAAAAAAAAAAAAAAAGUUGGACUAAUUUGUUUCAUGCCUUUUGUGGCUUCACUCAGUGGGGAUAGGGCCUUUUGUCUUUGUCCCACAGACCUGAAUCUACAACUCCAAUCCUGAAGCCUCUGAGAACAUGAUCAUAUAUCUGAAAUGACGUUAUAUUAAUGCAUUUAAAUUGCAUUCCAUGACAUCAAAGGCACUAAUGUAUGUGCUUUUACCAUUACUACUCUUAAGCAACAGAGUAUCUAUUGUCCAUAUGGAGGUUGUCCAUGAAUAUAGAGCAAGCUGAGCACCCACG
rnacentral:lncRNA from 8 species